rnacentral:rRNA from 1 species
CAGCAGCCGCGGGAAUACGUAGGGUGCAAGCGUCAAUCGGAAUUACUGGGCGUAAAGCGUGCGCAGGCGGUUUGUUAAGACAGAUGUGAAAUCCCCGGGCUCAACCUGGGAACUGCAUUUGUGACUGGCAAGCUAGAGUCUGGCAGAGGGGGGUGGAAUUCCGCGUGUAGCAGUGAAAUGCGUAGAUAUGCGGAGGAACACCGAUGGCGAAGGCAGCCCCCUGGGCCAACACUGACGCUCAUGCACGAAAGCGUGGGGAGCAAACAGGAUUAGAUACCCGAGUAGUCCCUGUCUCUUAUAA